CUCCGCCCCCUAAUCGGUGUUGGCCGCGCAUGGCACCGGGUCGGGCUGGAAACGACAAUCAAGCCUGUCGAUGACUCGGUACCUAUCGUAGCGUUUUUUUUCCGAAAAAACUUUACGAUAGGUAUCAAAUCAUCAACAUGCGUGGGGCGGUGGGUUUUGAUGCUUCGGAUCUUGCGUAUUUUCUAGAUGGACGGAAUUCGUUACUCAUUCUUCGCUAGUGACCCGACUUAAUUGCCAUUUUCCAGCGUUUAGGAGCUAUGUUGGUUGAGCUUUGCUCGGCUUAGACUGCAAAUAUACGUAUUGGGUUAGCGUUACCGGCCAUGUUGGUUGAGCUUUGCUCGGCUUAGACUGCUAAUUACGAAGGCAACCGUGUGCGGGCGAUGUCGGUUGAGCUUUGCUCCGGCUUUGACUGCUCGUUACAUGGCUGUUAAUAAGCUUAUUAAUAAGCUUGUUACUCGGGGCAUGUUUAGCGAAUUCAAUAAACUCUACGUAAAUACACCAGCAAGAGAUGAUGCAUCGUUGCUCACCGUUUGGUUUCUUGAUUUCGCAUCGUUCGGUGCAUUUUGGGGCUGUUUUGGCUUUUGGUUGCUUGUUUCGCCUUCGGCAAAGCGGGUGGCUACUAGUCGGGUGGCUCCGGGGAUGUUUUCCGUAAAGGUGCAUGAGUGGUGUUUGGUUUGUUACGUGUGGUUGGCUGCGGCGCUUGCAACAACUUCCACGCUCUCAUACCUCUUCAGUUUUGCGUCAAGGCUUGUAUCGCCUUGAGCGUCAUGUGGUUUUCUGUGUUGAAUACCUAAUCAACGGUAUCGGUAGGAUAAAUUAAAAGUUUUUUUUCGCCUUGCGUUGCUUUUGCGGCGUGAGGUGAACCCGAUUGCCUUCUCUUUGAUCCACCUUGUUGUUGCAAAGCCUUCGUCAUUGUGGCGCAUUGAGUAUUGCUUGGUUUCUUGUAUACGGAACAUAAAGUGGGCAUGGAUUUAACGAUUCAUGUUUGCCCUUGUUUCAGCUUCUUUAAAACGACU
rnacentral:misc_RNA from 1 species